UAUUUAUUAGAUAAAAAACCAAUGCCCUUCGGGGCUCCUUGGUGAUUCAUAAUAACUUAACGAAUCGCAUGGCCUUGCGCCGGCGAUGGUUCAUUCAAAUUUCUGCCCUAUCAACUUUCGAUGGUAAGAUAGUGGCUUACCAUGGUCUCAACGGGUAACGGGGAAUUAGGGUUCUAUUCCGGAGAGGGAGCCUGAGAAACGGCUACCACAUCCAAGGAAGGCAGCAGGCGCGCAAAUUACCCAAUCCCAAUUCGGGGAGGUAGUGACAAUAAAUACUGAUACGGGGCUCUUUCGGGUCUCGUAAUUGGAAUGAGUACAAUCUAAAUCCCUUAACGAGGAACAAUUGGAGGGCAAGUCUGGUGCCAGCAGCCGCGGUAAUUCCAGCUCCAAUAGCGUAUAUUAAAGUUGUUGCCGUUAAAAAGCUCGUAGUUGAACCUUGGACCUGGCUGAUCUGUCCUCCUAAUCGAGCGCACGGAUUCGGUCGGGUCUUUCCUUCUGGGGAGCCCUAUGCCCUUCACUGGGUGUAGUGGGGAACCAGGACUCUUACCUUGAAAAAAUUAGAGUGUUCAAAGCAGG
rnacentral:rRNA from 1 species